CCAAUGCCAACAGAGGGAGCAAGGCCAUAGCCAUUAGUAGGGGAAGGGCUGAGGACAGGGAGAGGGAGAGCUCACCAACCAUGUGCCGUCCAGAUGACUUCAGCCCCACUUAGAGUGUACACUAUAGGCAGGGCAUCACUGAGGAGGUGGGCACUUUUUUUCACUGCCCCCUAGAGACAGAGGAGAAGGUUAAGUAUGUUCCAGACAAGUCACAUCCAAAGCAACUUCUUGGUACCUAAUGAGAAGCCUUGCUGCCUGAGGGAGCCCUUGUGAAGGUUCCUCAUCUGUGUAUGGAGAGAAAGGGAAAACAAGAAGACAAAGGAAAUCCAUAAACAAGGUUGCCAGUCACAGGUGAGGAAGUGAAGCAAUAAGGAAGAGGCUGGAAAAGGGAAGAAAGACAAUUGACAACUAAUCCGGAAAGUCCCAGUGUUGCCCCGAGAGACAAAUAAAGAAGUGUGAAUCCGCAUAGCAUGUCAUCCCCUGGAAGGCAAGGCGGAAAGCAUGGAAUGGAGUCCACCCCAGUGCUAAAUGCAGAAACGCUUGAGCAGAACUGCUGAGAUGUGCACGCACAUCUACUCAACAAUGCUGUUUAGAUUAUAAUUAGGUCUUCGAGAAAAUAGUCCAGAGAUGGAUGCUGUGUAGACAGGAGGAGGGGAAAAUAAAUGGUCAGAGCAAUUAACAGUGCAAUAGAGCAGUACUA